CCUACGGGAGGCAGCAGUGAGGAAUAUUGGUCAAUGGGCGCAAGCCUGAACCAGCCAAGCCGCGUGAAGGAAGACGGCCCUACGAGUUGUAAACUGCUUUUAUACGGGAGUAAAGGCAGGUACGCGUACCUUUCUGAAUGUACUGUAUGAAUAAGGAUCGGCUAACUCCGUGCCAGCAGCCGCGGUAAUACGGAGGAUUCGAGCGUUAUCCGGAUUUAUUGGGUUUAAAGGGUGCGUAGGCGGUCUGAUAAGUUAGUGGUGAAAGUCCGCGGCUCAACCGUAGAAUUGCAAUUGAUACUGUUAGCCUAGAGAGUAGUUGAGGUAGGCGGAA
rnacentral:rRNA from 1 species